AUAUAUGUCAGUGAAUAUUGCACCAAUAGCUUACCUGAUAUCAUUGGUCACCCACAGAUCAGACUCAACAUCUUUGGUCAUGCCACAACAGUUGUGCCUAUACUAUGAUGUGGCAGCUUCCCAGUUUUGUCAGCUAAGGGACCUAAUCACGUACACUAUUGUAUUGUCUGUGCCACAAACACACAGAAAUAUGAUGCCUACCUGUCCACAUGUACCAGUGAUGUAUCAGAAUGUGAAAUGAAGCUGGAAGUUUAUAGCAGGUAAGUAUCUUGGAUUAGGAAGUAUAUGUAUUUGCAAGAGCUUGUAGAGAAUUGACAGAUAAACCAACGUCACCAUUUUUGAAUGUAUUACAGGUGCUUUAAAAUCACCCACGGUUGAACUUAGUUUCACAGAUGAUAAGAACACAGACUACUUGGACCACGUUUCCAUUCUCUGAUCACAUUGAGGCUGUGGGGACUGUGUGUAGCUUAUCUGAUUUCUGUAACUUUUGAAGACUGCUGUAAAUGUAUUUUAAUAUCUGAUCACUAUUUAAAGAUGUGAUGUUGCUUAGUACAUGAUAGGAAUUUUGUGAAAAGGUCAUUCCAAAGACUUCUAAGAAUCAGCAUGUACUUAUUACAGAACAACUGCAGUUUUAUGUAACAACCAGUAUAAUCAUUGAUAUGUCAGAAUCAGUACUGCAAAAUAAAAAGCAAAUUUCCAUGA